AAAAGUCACCCGAAACAGGCAGAGCGAAACCCUGUCCUCGCAUUCCCCCGAACCCAAACCCCCAACCAAUGGCGGCCACGGCGAUGGAGCACGAUGGCGGCGCCGAGGUGGUGGUCACCCCGGGGGAGCUCCUCGGGCCCUCCUCGUCUCUCGAGGCCGGGCGCGGCGCUUACGCCGACGGCCGCUCCGUGCGCGCGUCGGUCACCGGCCGCCGCCGCUUCGUGGCCCCCGCCCCCGGCUCCUCCGACCAGAGGUCCACGGUGGAGGUGGUCGGGCACAAGGCGCACGGGGCCGUGCCGCAGCCGGGGAGCAUCGUCAUUGCCCGUGUGACAAAGGUUAUGGCUAGGAUGGCGUCUGCAGAUAUAAUGUGUGUUGACUCAAAGGCUGUCAAGGAAAAGUUCACUGGCAUGAUAAGGCAGCAAGAUGUUCGUGCAACUGAGAUCGACAAGGUGGAUAUGUACCAGUCAUAUCGACCUGGCGAUAUUGUUAGAGCUCUGGUUCUCUCUCUUGGUGAUGCAAGGGCAUACUACCUUUCGACUGCCAAGAAUGAACUUGGAGUUGUUUCUGCCCAAAGUAUAGCUGGUGGCACGCUGGUCCCAACCAGUUGGACUGAGAUGCAAUGUGAAUUGACUGGCCAAAUCGAGCAAAGAAAAGUUGCAAAAGUGGAGUAGAUCUUGUUUACUUUGCCAGAUAGGAAGGUAAAUUUGGUUGGUUACAGGGUUGUUUCUCCUUCGCUCAGAGCCUCAGUGCUCAGACUGUUUCAGUUACGCACUUAACUGUGCCCUUAUUUCUUAGUGGAAGCAGCUACUACCCGUAUUUCUAGUGUAUUGCCUGUAAUGUAUUCAAAUCCUGUACAGUGGCUAGUUGGCUACUAUUAGCCUAGUCCCUGGUAUACAACUUAUGGUCGAAUGUGUACUCUGCUCUGCUCACCGAUGAAACCAUGUCUACCUCACUGUUGACCAGCUUUCAAAAGUUCAGUAACCCGGUUUUGAUGGUGUACGAUAUGUUUGAUCAACAACUUGGGGUCCUCCGGGCAUGAUUAUUGUCACUGGAUUUAGCACAUUAACACUACCCAUGGGGUGCUAUUUUGACUAGCUUUUGAAUGUAACGCAACUAUGUUUGUUGAGUGUUAUUUAGGGCUUUAUGUGAGAUUGUGAUGUUGUGGUCUUCCGAGGCUUGGAAACAGUUGAAGCGUUGGUUUGAGUCUGUAGACUGAAUGUGCAAACGAUGCCAUUGGAUUUUUUUUUCUCUCACAGAAAAGUAAGUUCUUACA